rnacentral:rRNA from 1 species
GAUGAACGCUGGCGGCGUGCCUAAUACAUGCAAGUCGAGCGAACAGACGAGGAGCUUGCUCCUCUGACGUUAGCGGCGGACGGGUGAGUAACACGUGGAUAACCUACCUAUAAGACUGGGAUAACUUCGGGAAACCGGAGCUAAUACCGGAUAAUAUAUUGAACCGCAUGGUUCAAUAGUGAAAGACGGUUUUGCUGUCACUUAUAGCUGGAUCCGCGCCGCAUUAGCUAGUUGGUAAGGUAACGGCUUACCAAGGCAACGAUGCGUAGCCGACCUGAGAGGGUGAUCGGCCACACUGGAACUGAGACACGGUCCAGACUCCUACGGGAGGCAGCAGUAGGGAAUCUUCCGCAAUGGGCGAAAGCUUGACGGAGCAACGCCGCGUGAGUGAUGAAGGUCUUCGGAUCGUAAAACUCUGUUAUUAGGGAAGAACAAAUGUGUAAGUAACUAUGCACGUCUUGACGGUACCUAAUCAGAAAGCCACGGCUAACUACGUG